rnacentral:rRNA from 1 species
ACGAACGCUGGCGGCGUGCUUAACACAUGCAAGUCGAACGAGCCACAGACCUUCGGGUCUGUGGCGAGUGGCGAACGGGUGAGUAACACGUGAGCAACCUGCCCUUGACACUGGAAUAACAGUUGGAAACAGCUGCUAAUACCGGAUACGACCUUCGAUGGCAUCAUCUGAAGGUGGAAAGCUCCGACGGUCAAGGAUGGGCUCGCGGCCUAUCAGCUUGUUGGUGAGGUAACGGCUCACCAAGGCUUCGACGGGUAGCCGGCCUGAGAGGGCGACCGGCCACACUGGGACUGAGAUACGGCCCAGACUCCUACGGGAGGCAGCAGUGGGGAAUAUUGCACAAUGGGCGAAAGCCUGAUGCAGCAACGCCGCGUGCGGGAUGACGGCCUUCGGGUUGUAAACCGCUUUCAGUUCCGACGAAGGUAACCUGACGGUAGGAACAGAAGAAGGACCGGCCAACUACGU